rnacentral:rRNA from 1 species
UACGUAGGGGGCAAGCGUUGUCCGGAAUCAUUGGGCGUAAAGAGCGCGUAGGCGGCCCUGUAAGUCCGCUGUGAAAGUCAAGGGCUCAACCCUUGGAUGCCGGUGGAUACUGCAGGGCUAGAGUCCGGAAGAGGCGAGUGGAAUUCCUGGUGUAGCGGUGAAAUGCGUAGAUAUCGGGAGGAACACCUGUGGCGAAAGCGGCUCACUGGACCGCAACUGGACGCUGAGGCGCGAAAGCUAGGGGAGCAAA